CUCACGUGUUCGGAGUGGAGACGGUCGCCUGUUCGCCAUUUUCCUGGAAUUUGGAAAUUCCUUGUCUAGUUGGUUAUCUCUCUUAUAAUUGUGCUACUAAAUAUUGUUAAAUAUAAUUUGUUUUCAUUAAACAUUCCUCGCUGUCAAACAGCAACGAUAUUUGUUCUUGUCCAGCCCAGCUUGUGAUUCAUUGCUCAAAAUUUCCUGACUUCAGAAGUUGGUGAGGUGUUAAGUGACGGUGAGGUGUUAAGAGAUCUGCCAGAUUGACCAGGACUCGUGUUCAUCACCAAAUUAUAUUGUGUAGUAAAUAACCUAUGUUUAGUGAACACAAAGAUUCCAAGUCUGAUUCCUUUUUCUAAGUUAGGACAUAACAAUUUUUGUAAAAGAUUUUCUUUUUUGAGUUAGGAUUCAUUUUUGACAGGAAAAUUAAAAAAAAAGUUUUUUUGAGGGGGAAGGACUAGGAGGUACUUUGGAUUCUUUAAUUUUAUUUCUGAGGGUGGACGAGGUGGCAAGAUUCAAAGUUAACUGUAAAUUCCUUGACCCUUGUUCUGUGGCGUUGGAGGACAGCGUCAUUUUGAGGUGAUAGAAUUUUCGAGUAUUGUACAUUUCUUUUGUUCAUGUUCCUUUUUUGACUCUUUUAAAGGUUUCAGCCAUGUCAAGCGAUUUCGUAAUGAAAGUUCUCAAUUAGAUAUUGUUUUUUAUUAGCUUGACUUCACUUCUCCCCGAGAUUAGUUGUUCCUGACUAGUAAUUGCUAUUUUCCGUAUCAACUUCUUCCUAAUAGUAAUUGCCACAAUCUUCUCCUGACUGAAUGUCUUGGAUGCAGUUUUAUCACGGCCAUGUUUACAGUUUGACUGAUCGGCGAUUUCACGUAGUCAUACAAUUAACACAGAUU